UCGUGUGUACAUCAUUGGGAAUGGAGGGAAAUAAAUGACUGGAUGGUCGCUGCUUUUUAAGUUUCAAAUUGACAUUCCAGACAAGCGGUGCCUGAGCCCGUGCCUGUCUUCAGAUCUUCACAGCACAGUUCCUGGGAAGGUGGAGCCACCAGCCUCUCCCUGCCCUAGCAGAUGCUAAUCCAGCGUGCGUCCUGGCAGAGGUUGAAGGGGGCUCCUCAAGUCCCAGGUCCAGCUUGGUGUGGUUCAGCUACUCGAGAGACAUCUGCUGCUAAUGGAUGAGCAGUCAACCUGGACGCAGGAAAUCAUUUUUUAUUUGGAAUAACUGGGAGAUGAAACAGGAAGCUCUAUGACACACUUGAUCGAAUAUGACAGACACUGAAAAUCACGACUCAUCCCCCUCCAGCACCUCUACCUGUUGCCCGCCGAUCACAGCCGGAAUGCAGCUGAAAGAUUCCCUGGGGCCUGGUUCCAACUGCCCACUGUGGACUCUGAGGCCUCUGCAUUUGCGGGUGGUCUGCCUGUGAUAUUUUGGUCAUGGGCUGGUCUGGUCGGUUUCCCAUUUGUCUGGCCAGUCUCUGUGUGUCUUAAUCCCUUGUCCUUCAUUAAAAGCAAAAC
rnacentral:lncRNA from 1 species